AUUGAACGCUGGCGGCAUGCUUUACACAUGCAAGUCGAACGGUAACAGGCCGCAAGGUGCUGACGAGUGGCGAACGGGUGAGUAAUGCAUCGGAACGUGCCCAGUCGUGGGGGAUAACGCAGCGAAAGCUGCGCUAAUACCGCAUACGAUCUAUGGAUGAAAGCGGGGGACCGUAAGGCCUCGCGCGAUUGGAGCGGCCGAUGUCAGAUUAGGUAGUUGGUGGGGUAAAGGCCUACCAAGCCAACGAUCUGUAGCUGGUCUGAGAGGACGACCAGCCACACUGGGACUGAGACACGGCCCAGACUCCUACGGGAGGCAGCAGUGGGGAAUUUUGGACAAUGGGCGCAAGCCUGAUCCAGCAAUGCCGCGUGCAGGAAGAAGGCCUUCGGGUUGUAAAGGACUUUUGUCGGGGAGGAAAUCCCCAGCGUUAAUACCGCUGGGGGAUGACAGUACCUGAAGAAUAAGCACCGGCUAACUACGUGCCAGCCGCCGCCGAACAC
rnacentral:rRNA from 1 species